UACAGAGGGUGCGAGCGUUAAUCGGAAUUACUGGGCGUAAAGCGCACGUAGGCGGCUUUGUAAGUUAGAGGUGAAAGCCCGGAGCUCAACUCCGGAAUUGCCUUUAAGACUGCAUCGCUCGAAUCAUGGAGAGGUGAGUGGAAUUCCGAGUGUAGAGGUGAAAUUCGUAGAUAUUCGGAAGAACACCAGUGGCGAAGGCGACUCACUGGACAUGUAUUGACGCUGAGGUGCGAAAGCGUGGGGAGCAAACAGG
rnacentral:rRNA from 1 species